AAUGGCAUUGCCAAUGCAUUGUCCUACUUGCAUCAUGAUUGUGAUCCACCAAUCAUUCACAGGGAUGUAUCAAGCAACAACAUUCUUUUGAAUUCACAGCUUAAAGCAACUCUAUCUGACUUUGGAACUGCAAAGAUUUUGAAACCUGAUUCCUCAAAUCAAACAGUAAUUGCAGGCACCUAUGGUUACAUUGCACCGGCAAGGUGUAGUACAUGAAGAGUUGAUUUUUGGUGGGUAACUAGACCGACCUAAAUCAGUCCUCUCUUGAGUGAGGUGAGAUGAAUUCACUUGUCCGAAGUGGAUGGCGGGGCUUCUCCCCUGGGAUCACUCCGACGAUCAAGUUAGUACGAGAACGAGAAAAGCAAUAGUAUUUGUGAAUGAACAGUAUGCUUACUUGUUGGGAGUAUGUGUGGGGUAUUUAUAGAGUGAGAGUGAGAGAUAGGACAGAGGGCUUAUGCUGGCGGGACCCACGUCCUGACAUUACGGCUCUGCUCCCUGUCAGGAGGUCUGACUCUGACACUGUAGCCGCCUGUGCAGGGUGACAGGGGACCUUGCGUAGUUGCCAUUAAGAAUACCAGGUGCUUUUCAGAUAAAGCACUGGUCUCGGAUGAUGUCAGGCGGGCUGACAUCAUCGGCGUGCAGCCGAGGUGGAAACCUGUGGUGCAGAGGCCAUCUAAACAGUUGGCCAGGGGCCUGCCCAAGGUCAGGGAUCAUGCUCAAGACAACACUUCACUCGCGUGAGGGACGAAAUGAGAUCACCUCGGCCUUACAGGGACUGCCGAGAGCUAGCCUAUACCGUGGCGGUCACUGAAAAGUCCGAUGUGUAUAGCUUUGGCGUUGUGGUGCUGGAAACGCUGUUUGGAGAGCAUCCACAAGAAUUCCUUUCUUGCGUAUCAUCACAACCCAAUGAACCAAUAAUGAUGAAGGAUCUUCUUGAUGCCCGUCUGCCCCCUCCGACUAACCCUUUGGUCGUUCGAAAUGUGGUUGUCGCGACAGCGUUGGCCCUGGAUUGCGUCAACGCAAACCCAAAAUUUCGACCAACAAUGCAGCAAGUGGUGAACCGAUUUGAAGUGGGCAGGCGAGAAUCAACUAGGCCUUUGCACACCAUUGCUGUGAAUCAGUUUAUAAAAGUAGAAACAUGACCAAGCACUGAGAUUAUUGCAUAUACCAUAUAGUGUACUAAUAAAAAUAGAAAAAAAGAAAGUGUGCUAAUUAAUGAAAAG